UUUCGAUCGGCUCGCCGAUGACCGAGGCAAAAAGGACAGACGCCUGUCCUGCAGCAGAAACGACGGGCUCCCGGAUUUGCUUUAAAAAAACGCCAAUCGGGUGUUUGUCGAAGCCUCGCGUUGGAUUCAAGCCCUGACCCCGGCGCGAGGCGCUCUCGCCGGGCCGCAGCCUCUCGCUCCACCUCGGCCGCUCAGCUGCGAGGAUGUCAUCUUUCUUUUUUUAUCGCCCGCUCUCCCUCCUCCCUCCCUGUCUCUUUCUUCCUUUUCUUUUUUAAUUCCUCUUUCUUCUCCCCCUCCUCUCCUUUUCUCGCACCGCUAUGUCCCACUUGCUCUUAAAGGGAUAGGGUUUCCUCUCAUUUCCGUCUCCCUCCGGCGGAGCCCGUCCUCCCCCCCCCCUUUCCUUCCUGGGUUUAGUCAGCCGACACAAAAUGCAAUACCGUGUGUUUUUUUUUUCUCCUUCCCCCCCUCCUCCUUCUCCUCAGGCAGCUGGAGCAGAUCUCGUCCUGCACCGCAGCAAACAGCCGGGGUGACUUUCCAUUAACGGCGAGAUGACAGACGCAUCUUAAAGGGAAGUGCGCGUCGAUCCUCCCAGUCGGCCAAUAAUAAUGAUGUCAGAGACAGAGAUAGUAAACAGGACGAAUAACAGCUCAGCGUGCACACACACAAUAGACGAGAUUAAUAGUCAGCAUUGCAUGAACACUGAUACACUGUCUGCUUAAGGUAAUCAAUGUAAAACACAUUUUAUACAUGAUAUAUGAUGUCUAGGAUUUGCCUUGUUUUUUUGUUUUUUUUAUCCAAUUAAAGUGUUUAAAUCAGUGAGAAUAUGAUGUAAUGGCUUCAUAGUUUAAGUCAAUUCUAGGUUUAAAUUUACCAGAUUUACUAGUUUCAGCUUUGCAAACUUUUAGAAAGGAUGCUUUAUAACGUUGUUAAACUUGGCAUAAUGCAUGCUGUUAAUGUGCUUUCGACUAAAAGUGGGACAAUGAAAUAUAUUUUGUUAACUUAAAUUUAGGGCGAACCUUUUUUUUUUUUCAGAAAUGUUUGACUUUCGUGCCAAAUUCUGUUUUGAUAAACUGAGAAAACAAGAUUGUGCAGUUUUGUUUGAAAACUGUAUUAGUCAUGGCUGAAAAUUAAAAAAAAAAAGUUUUUUCAAUUAGUAUUUGAAUUUUUUCCUUUUGUGAUGCCGACCAUAAAAUCAUAGAAAAAAAACACAGAUAUUCAGUUUAAUGCAAAAAAAAAUCAAGCAAAUGUUCAAAAUGUAGAACAGAGGGUGGUACUGGAUGAUCAUUUUAGUUGCUGAUUAAAGUCUGACCAUUGAAUCUAUUCUUUGUUCUUAUAGGUGUAGCAAUAAACCAAGUAAAGUGAAACAGCACAAGUUAAUGUGUUAAUAUCAAUUUUAUUAUCUUUUUUUAAAUUACUUUUUAAAGCACCCCACUUCUUUUCCAAUACAUGUGUUAAGACCCUUCACCCUUUUCCUCCUCAAGCUUUAAAUUGCUUGACGUGAAUAUUUAAUGAUUUCAACCCCCGCCCACAUCCCCUUCCACGCCCACCCUCCCUCUGCCCCGAAAACUCUGCAAAACACAACGUCUGUGUCGCUUCUUCGUCUUCAUGUUAAACCAGGCAGUAGGUGAGACCACCCGCUCGGACACAGACAACAGCCCGUCUAAACGCACUAUCACACUGACUUCCCCAACACAAAGGCCGUCCCCGAUCCCGCCAGUCUUAGUUUAUAUAAGGAGUUUCAUGCAUGCACUGAGAUUUCAACCAAGCAUAAAAUAGUAGGUUAUACAGGGAAUUGUCUUGAGCUGGUGUUUCUGAGUCAUACAAACAGCAGGGUGAUUAUCUUCUUCUUUUUUUCUUCAGGUAAAACAAAACAAAAAGUCCAGUGAUUUCUAAUCCCCUUCAAGUAAAUGACCCAAAAAGAGGGAG